rnacentral:rRNA from 1 species
UACGUAGGGCGCAAGCGUUGUCCGGAAUUAUUGGGCGUAAAGAGCUCGUAGGCGGCUUGUCACGUCGAUUGUGAAAGCCCGAGGCUUAACCUCGGGACUGCAGUCGAUACGGGCUAGCUAGAGUGUGGUAGGGGAGAUCGGAAUUCCUGGUGUAGCGGUGAAAUGCGCAGAUAUCAGGAGGAACACCGGUGGCGAAGGCGGAUCUCUGGGCCAUUACUGACGCUGAGGAGCGAAAGCGUGGGGAGCGAACAGG